GGAGCACCCCGGGCGAUCGCUCCGCGCCUCGCGCGCGGGGAGGAAAGUCCGGACUCCACGGGCCCGGGUGGUUGCCAACGACAACCGGUCGCGAGACCAGGGAAAGUGCCACAGAAAAUACACCGCCGACGCGCGCGCCCUUCGGGGCGCUCGCAGGCAAGGGUGAAAUGGUGCGGCAAGAGCGCACCGCGGUUCCGGCGACGGAACCGGCAGGGCAAACCCCACCCGAGAGAAAGACCAAAUAGGGGGGCAUAGACGACGGCCCGCGUCGCCUGAAGCCCCCGGGUAGGUCGUGACGAGCCAGGACGCGAGUCCUGGCCCAGAGAAAUGGUCGCCGCCCCUCCUUUGGAGGGGUACAGAAUCCGGCUUACAGGGGUGCUCCCAUC
rnacentral:RNase_P_RNA from 1 species